CGGCGGACGGGUGAGUAACGCGUGGGUAACCUGCCCUGUACACACGGAUGACAUACCGAAAGGUAUGCUAAUACGAGAUAAAAUACUUUUAUCGCAUGGUAGAAGUAUCAAAGCUUUUGCGGUACAGGAUGGACCCGCGUCUGAUUAGCUAGUUGGUAAGGUAACGGCUUACCAAGGCGACGAUCAGUAGCCGACCUGAGAGGGUGAUCGGCCACAUUGGAACUGAGACACGGUCCAAACUCCUACGGAAGGCAGCAG
rnacentral:rRNA from 1 species